CAACCUGCCCACCACUUGGGGAUAACCUUGCGAAAGUAAGACUAAUACCCAAUGAUAUCUCUAGAAGACAUCUGAAAGAGAUUAAAGAUUUAUCGGUGAUGGAUGGGGAUGCGUCUGAUUAGCUUGUUGGCGGGGUAACGGCCCACCAAGGCAACGAUCAGUAGGGGUUCUGAGAGGAAGGUCCCCCACAUUGGAACUGAGACACGGUCCAAACUCCUACGGGAGGCAGCAGUGAGGAAUAUUGGUCAAUGGACGAGAGUCUGAACCAGCCAAGUAGCGUGCAGGAAGACGGCCCUAUGGGUUGUAAACUGCUUUUAUAAGGGAAUAAAGUGAGAGUCGUGACUCUUUUUGUAUGUACCUUAUGAAUAAGGACCGGCUAAUUCCGUGCCAGCAGCCGCGGUAAUACGGAAGGUCCGGGCGUUAUCCGGAUUUAUUGGGUUUAAAGGGAGCGUAGGCCGGAGAUUAAGCGUGUUGUGAAAUGUAGAUGCUCAACAUCUGCACUGCAGCGCGAACUGGUUUCCUUGAGUACGCACAAAGUGGGCGGAAUUCGUGGUGUAGCGGUGAAAUGCUUAGAUAUCACGAAGAACUCCGAUUG
rnacentral:rRNA from 1 species